rnacentral:rRNA from 1 species
UACGUAGGGGGCAAGCGUUGUCCGGAAUCAUUGGGCGUAAAGAGCGUGUAGGCGGCUUGGUAAGUCCGCUGUGAAAGUCCAGGGCUCAACCCUGGAAUGCCGGUGGAAACUGUCAAGCUUGAGUCCGGAAGAGGCGAGUGGAAUUCCUGGUGUAGCGGUGAAAUGCGCAGAUAUCAGGAGGAACACCAAUGGCGAAGGCAGCUCGCUGGGACGGUACUGACGCUGAGACGCGAAAGCGCGGGGAGCGAACAGG